rnacentral:rRNA from 1 species
AGUGCAUGUGGUGGAUGCCUUGGCGAUUACAGGCGACGAAGGACGUGAUAGCCUGCGAUAAGCUUCGGGGAGCUGGCAAAUUAGCUUUGAUCCGGAGAUUUCCGAAUGGGGAAACCCACCGAAAGGUAUCUCUAUCUGAAUACAUAGGAUAGAGAGGCGAACCGGGUGAACUGAAACAUCUCAGUAGCUCGAGGAAAAGACAUCAACCGAGAUUCCGAAAGUAGUGGCGAGCGAAAUCGGAACAGCCUAGUGCUCUUUAGCAGUCGACUUAUCAAAACAGCUUGGAAACGCUGGCCAUAGUGGGUGAUAGCCCCGUAUGAGAAAAGUCUUCUGUGGAACUGAGUGCACGAUAAGUAGGGCGGGACACGAGAAAUCCUGUCUGAAGAUGGGGGGACCAUCCUCCAAGGCUAAAUACUCGUAAUCGACCGAUAGUGAACAAGUACCGUGAGGGAAAGGCGAAAAGAACCCCGGGAGGGGAGUGAAAUAGAUCCUGAAACCGCAUGCAUACAAAAAGUCGGAGCCCGCAAGGGUGACGGCGUACCUUUUGUAUAAUGGGUCAGCGACUUACAUUCAGUGGCGAGGUUAACCGAAUAGGGUAGCCGAAGAGAAAUCGAGUCCGAAUAGGGCGUCUAGUCGCUGGGUGUAGACCCGAAACCAAGUGAUCUAUCCAUGGCCAGGAUGAAGGUGCGGUAACACGCACUGGAGGUCCGAACCGACUAGUGUUGCAAAACUAGCGGAUGAGCUGUGGAUAGGGGUGAAAGGCUAAACAAACUUGGAAAUAGCUGGUUCUCUCCGAAAACUAUUUAGGUAGUGCCUCAAGUAUUACCAUCGGGGGUAGAGCACUGUUAUGGCUAGGGGGUCAUGGCGACUUACCAAACCAUUGCAAACUCCGAAUACCGAUGAGUACAGCUUGGGAGACAGUGCACCGGGUGCUAACGUCCGGACACAAGAGGGAAACAACCCAGACCGCCAGCUAAGGUCCCUAAAAUUGGCUAAGUGGGAAACGAAGUGGGAAGGCUAAAACAGUCAGGAUGUUGGCUUAGAAGCAGCCAUCAUUUAAAGAAAGCGUAAUAGCUCACUGAUCGAGUCGUCCUGCGCGGAAGAUGUAACGGGGCUAAGCCAGUUACCGAAGCUGCGGAUUCACAGUUUACUGUGAGUGGUAGGAGAGCGUUCUGUAAGCCUGCGAAGGUGUCUUGUAAAGGAUGCUGGAGGUAUCAGAAGUGCGAAUGCUGACAUGAGUAGCGUUAAAGGGGGUGAAAAGCCCCCUCGCCGUAAGCGCAAGGUUUCCUACGCAACGUUCAUCGGCGUAGGGUGAGUCGGCCCCUAAGGCGAGGCAGAGAUGCGUAGCUGAUGGGAAACAGGUUAAUAUUCCUGUACCGAUGUGUAGUGCGAUGUGGGGACGGAGAAGGUUAGCUCAGCCAGGUGUUGGAUGUCCCGGUUCAAGCCUGUAGUCGUGCCUGGUAGGCAAAUCCGCCGGGCUUAGAUGAGGGGUGAUAACGAGUCUGCUUGCAGACGAAGUGAGUGAUACCCUGCUUCCAGGAAAAGCCACUAAGCUUCAGCUAUUGACGACCGUACCGCAAACCGACACUGGUGCGCGAGAUGAGUAUUCUAAGGCGCUUGAGAGAACUCUGGAGAAGGAACUCGGCAAAUUGACACCGUAACUUCGGAAGAAGGUGUGCCUUUAGUAGGUGAACCAUUUACUUGGGGAGCCCAAUGAGGUCGCAGAGAAUCGGUGGCUGCGACUGUUUAUUAAAAACACAGCACUCUGCAAACACGAAAGUGGACGUAUAGGGUGUGACGCCUGCCCGGUGCUGGAAGAUUAAAUGAUGGGGUGCAAGCUCUUGACUGAAGUCCCAGUAAACGGCGGCCGUAACUAUAACGGUCCUAAGGUAGCGAAAUUCCUUGUCGGGUAAGUUCCGACCUGCACGAAUGGCGUAACGAUGGCCACACUGUCUCCUCCAGAGACUCAGCGAAGUUGAAAUGUUUGUGAUGAUGCAAUCUCCCCGCGGAAAGACGGAAAGACCCCAUGAACCUUUACUGUAGCUUUACAUUGGACUUUGAACAGAUCUGUGUAGGAUAGGUGGGAGGCUUUGAAGCCAGGACGCUAGUUCUGGUGGAGCCAACGUUGAAAUACCACCCUGGUGUGUUUGAGGUUCUAACCUUGGCCCGUUAUCCGGGUUGGGGACAGUGUAUGGUGGGCAGUUUGACUGGGGCGGUCUCCUCCCAAAGUGUAACGGAGGAGUUCGAAGGUACGCUAGGCACGGUCGGAAAUCGUGCUGAUAGU